GGCAGCUGAGCCGCAAUUACGUUGUCGUGAGCGAGCUGUUGGCCUAUUAAUAUAUUAAAUUGAUAGCUAAUGGUGCAGUAAAAUGGAUUUUUACGUCAUAAAAUAUUUUUUCUUUAAGAGAAGUGUUAUUUAGGUAUAUAUUUCUGGCUUGAAAUACUUUUUGAUAAAAGUGCCGCCAUGACUGGUGUUGAAGCAGCUGAUGAUCGGCUCGAAAGAAGAAGUUAUCCCGAAUCUUGCAGUCCACUCAGCUGUUCAGAUCGAUCUUCUCCCGAUCCUUCUUCCACUUUACAACCUCUCUUAACGUCAAGUAACAGCAAUACAUCAUCUUCCCCUCCUCCAUAUUUGCUGGAGCCCCUCACCCCAACAACACACACGUCUUUCACCCCACUCACCGAUCCUGCCAACUCUACCUGUGCUGAAAACGAUCCUCCUUCCCUUCUCAAUGACGAACAGCCACAAAUGUCUGAAAGCAAUUGGAGUAUGCAUCUUGAUGUGCUUAGUAAACUGAAGACUGAAAGUGAGGAUUGGUAUGACAAUGAGGAGCUUUCAGCAGAAGCCUUGUUGAGCAGCAGCAGGAACAUCAGGAGUGAAUAUGCUAAUUUUACAAGUUGCAACCCCAACUAUUGUGACUCCCCACCACUGCCCUUAGAUAAUGAUUCUCUCCAACCAGCCCAUGAAGUUCACCAAAUAAACUUUGCUCCACACCCAAUCUAUUCUCCUUACUUUCUCUCAGACUAUCCCAGCAUCCCACUUCAACUCCCUCUUCCUCACCCCACAUACUCCCCACCUCCACAUUUACCUCCCCAAAGUCCACAUGCUCCUGCUUACUCUCUCCCACAUACUCCUCCAACAACACCCCACUCUUCCCUGGCUCCCCCAACCCCUCCUCAUCCUCCUCCAAACUCGCUCUCACCCAUCAUACUACCAAAGAGAAGAGGCAGGAAACCAAAACACGUCAAGAUUGAAGAAGACAAUGGCAACUUAGAAGCAGUUGCUGCCGCUUGGGCUGAACAUGAUGCUAAGAAGCGCCGCAAGACUGGCGCCUCUAUUGCCCCUGCUGUGCUCUCCCCUCCAACACCCACACCUGAACCUCCUGUCAAGCCUCGCAAGAAAAUGGACAGAUUUGGUGGCCUGGAAGAGGAGGAGGUUGCUAAGAAGACCUUGCCUGAUCAUCUCAAGCAUGGGUUGGACAUAGUAAUUAUUGGAAUCAACCCUGGCCUGUUUGCUGCGUUCAAGGGCCACCACUACGCCGGUCCUGGCAAUCAUUUCUGGAAGUGCCUGUACCUGUCAGGGCUGAUCCCUGAGCCGCUGGGUGCAGAGGACGAUGGCUCGCUGCUCAAGUACAACAUCGGCUUCACCAACAUCGUGGCGCGCACUACGCGAGGCUCGGCCGAGCUUACCAGACUCGAGAUCAAACAAGGAGGCGAAAUGCUGGUGUCAAAGCUGCGCUUCUACCGCCCCCGCAUCGCCGUCUUCAACGGCAAGGGCAUCUACGAAAUAUUCUCUGGCAAGAAGGACUUCCAGUUUGGCAAACAGCCAGAAAUGUUCCCACACACCGACACUUACGUGUGGGUGAUGCCGUCGUCGUCUGCGCGGUGCGCACAGCUCCCUCGCGCGCUCGACAAGGUGCCGUUCUACUCGGCGCUGCGCAAGUUCCGCGACUACCUCAACGGCAGCGUCGACCACAUCACCGAGGAGGAGAUGACCUUCGCGCACGUCAAGCUAAAGAACUUCAAGAAGGAGGACAAAGUCGUUAUUGAGGAAGAUGAUGAGGAUGAUGAUGAUACUGCUGACGGUGACCUGAGAGUGUCACAAGAGUCGAGUGAUGCGUCCCAGCACUCUAGCUACUUCAGCAGCCCUAAUGAGCAUUACUGAACACAGCGCCUCUUGCUGGAGUGUCGGUGUGGAGGUCAGCCCGAUGCACCGCCUCUUGUUGGGGUGUCGGUGUGGAGGGUGGCCUGUGCAGCUAUCAUCAAUGCGUUAUUUUGUCUACUGUGAAUGAUAGCGUUUGUAGUUUAAUUGAAUCGUGGUCCUUAUGAUGCACGCUUGCAGACUGACACGAAAGUGCGUUUGUUGCGCGUAAAGUGAUUGCAUGAUCAGCAAUCCUUGCACUGCAAGAACACAUUUGUUUGUUCACUCCUAAAGGCCGGCAGUGUUCCCAAUGACCUCAUCCUCUUGUGGACCCACGUUUCCGACAUUAGAGUAUAUUUUUGUGCAACGAACAAGGAAGUGGAAGUGAACAUUCUAUCUGAUUUAUUAUUUGUUCGCUUGCCCCUACCUUUGGGUUGACCUGUCCCUCCUGCUAGAGUUGUUAAAUACUUUCCUGCAGGGGUUCAGGAUAAGGCGAUCGAACCCUGUUGGGGUUAUACUGUGUGGCUGUCGUCAACCAUGAGGCCAGUAGCCUUUGCUUUAGGUAGCGCCAAAGACUUGAAUUAAUUAUUGGUUGUGUACAUCUCUUCUCAAACUUUUUAAAUUUAGAAGAGAAAAAUAACUUAUUUUACUUGAAUAUAAUGAAGUUUGAAUUCAAACAUAUUUCUUGUUUGCGAUGUGAAAACGCCUCUAUUUCCUCGAAAAAGGGCUAACAUACUUUCAAAGUUAGUUAGGGAUUUACUUUUGAGAUAUCGAGGCAAUAUAAUUUAUAAUGAUUCUUGUUUGUAUUUGCCAGUAUUGAUUAAGUAGGAUCUACCUCGAGAGAUGGCUACUGAGAGUCAUUCUGACAUUCAGUGAGCUUCCCAUGUUCCGAAUUCAAAUUUCUUUAACCCUUUCUGCUAUUUAAAUUUGUUAGGUUGUUUUCCCCUGGCGCUUCCUCGUGUAGAACAAUGUUAUGUCUUCCACUUGUUCCUGCUAUUUAUCUCAGUAUUGUUAGAUUGUUUUCCCCUGAUUUAUCUCGUGUAGAACAAAGUUGUUAUAUCUUUCACUUGUUCUUGCUGUUUGGCGAUCACUGAAAUUCAGGAGAGGGAACCUGAUUUUUACUUUACCGGUGUUUUAUUUAUUUAAAUUAAUGCGUUUUUGCUCGGUAAUAUUUAUAACAGAGUCUGUGCAAUUUGUUCGUAAGAAUUAUUUCUAACAUUAUUUAUUAUUUGGCUAAUUUGCUUACUGACUCUCAUAAGUGCAAUAUAUUUAACAAGCUCGUUGAUAGCAGGCAGCUUUCCUCUUAUUCGUCUGUAGUUCCUUGUUUUUCGUUCUCUUUAUUCUUUAGUGAUCAAUUGAGAUUAAUUUUCGGUGUUGAUAAUUUAGGCUUGGAAAAAUUAAUGCAGUCUUUCAUUAACUGGAAUAUUCGUUUGGUUUGCGGUGCUUCCUUUGCACGCUGACUUAUGUUAGCAGCUGAUACUGAUGUGCAAGCUUAGCGGCCGUUUUUUAUUUUUAGCGGCCUUUAAUCCAGAUAAGGUGAGAUCAUGGCAUUUGAAAUUACUCGGGACCUUCUAAACACAUGUGCAUUAUCCGUUUAUAAAUAUGUCCCCCAACCGUACAGGUCCUCAUUACCAGGUUCUUCGAUCAGGGAUAUGUCUUAAUCACGAGUAGAAUAUUUUCAUCACAUAUGAGAGAUUGAAUCGGUUGCUGCCUGAAGGAUUUGGUUAGAUCCUUCUCGGCGAGGUCUGUUUGAUCCUAGCUAGCUUCCACAGCUUCAAGAUAAUCAAAACUCAGAUUAUCUUCAAUAUUUAUCCGGUGAUGAGAACUAUCAUCCAUGACUCGGACAAUUUUCGUAUCGUGUAAUGUUGCAAGAUUUUAACGCCCAACACAAAUAAAAGUAGCUGCUGUGAGCGGAAAAAGUGCUCAAACCUUGAAGGCACUUGAAGAUCAUAUGAAGAAAAUCCUUGUGACUCAACUAACUUAAUAACUAAUAAGAUUGUUCCGGGCGACACAUAUCUCGAUAUAAAAACCAGGAGGAUGACCCCUUAAAGUCCUGGACAUCCACAUAUUUAUUGAGAGCUUUACGAUCGUUUGCGUCAUUAAUUUAUCAGUAAGAUAUAUUUAAGAGUAAGAAAUAGAGGUUAAGCCUAUGGUUUCUGUUUUUUUUUUGUGAAGUAUCUGAGCACAACUGUGGUUCGAAGUCAUUCGAUUCUGCAGGGUUCAUUGGGUUCGUUUCUCUCAGAAUAUUUUGUGCAGUGCAGCCUCUGGUGACCAUUUGAAUCACAAUCGUGAUUCACGAUUGUUACAACAUGUAAUCAUGUGUCGGAAUUAAUUGGAAAAUGCAGCGUCGUUCUGAUGCUUAUGGUAUGGGUGACUGAACGCGCUAUUUAGGAGGACACCAGCUGGGGCUCCAGUCUGUGUACGAGAUUUAAGAAUGUGUUUGCAUAGAAAAUGGAUUGGUUAGUUUUGUAGGAAUGAAGCAUCAUAUUUAUAAACAAAAUUGUCUGAUUAUUGAUGAUGUUUAGUAAGAUAGACGUUAUUAUUCCAAAAACUUGUUCUGCAUAGUAUGUUUAUACUUAAAUUAUGAAACGUUACUGCCUGUUUUGCCAAGCUGUGAGGCUAAAUCCAAAGUGCUGAACGCUUGACCGCUAUUUUGGUUCACUGUGUUUGUAAGCAUCGGCCACAACGCGCACUAAUUGACUCAUUUUAAUUCAUCCUAGAGCACUCCGUGAUAUUUUAAUCAUUCUCAGUAAUUAUAGUCUUCCGGAAGUGUUCAGGACAAACUAACCUUUUCCGUUCAUUGGACUCUCAGCAUAUGCACAUUAUGUCGGUGAUGGUCGUGGAAGUUACAGUGGCCUUAGUGCCCUUUAAAUCUCACUUAUCAUCUCCCUCCUGGUUGCCACCACUAGUGAGGAGCAAUUACAAUAACUAAACUUGGUGUUAUAAUAACAACUGUAUAAUAAUAGUAAAAAAUUGAGAUUUUCGCUGCUUUAACGAAGCUCUCUGAUGAGUCAGUGCAAAGAUCGUGGUGGUUGUUCAUGCGUUCAUCAAUCAAAUUUUGUGGGCGGUUUAAUUGAUGUGUAGCUAGUAUUUGCUGCCCACUGGUGAGCAACGUGAAUAUUGAAGAGUAUUUCUAAGCUAUGUUUGAUGCAAGAUCAUUUCGGCAGAUAACUUGCGUGCGUAAAGCUAAGCGGCGGCGACUUAUUAUCACGUAUUUGUUACUUAGGAGAUGUUAAGUCGUGCCAAAUGUGUUAGCCUAAGCAAUGUGUAGUACAGUAGCGGUGUAGCUGACGAGGAGCUUAGUUAUCAGACACCUGACUUUGAAAUAGCGUUUAUUGAACGUUGUUUCAACGUCAUUUGUCUAGUGGGAUAUAUAGUCACCUAUAUACUAAAUACUCAGGGGUCUGUACGUAUAAAGCUCUACACGAAACACAUCCUCUUUGCUCUCUGACGCCAGUGCUUUACCUUCCUGCAUUUGGCGAGAUGCUCUCGCUUUGUUCUUAUUGAUGAUGUUAGCCGCCUUGUGCGUUCUCUUGCAUAAAAUGAUUCUGGUUUUCCCCUACACAAUUUGAUAGUUCCGAGUUAUCCAAACAGAUACCACAACGUCUACUGUUUGCAACACAUCAAAGAAACACCGUUAAUUUCCAUGUUUGUGAGGCAUAUGGACAAGAAGUAUUGUAGAGCAAGUCGUUUUCUUAACUUCAGUGUACUCACCUUACCAAUUGAUUGGAAAUUAGCUCAUUAUUAAAUCGAUAAUGCGAACUACUGGUUGAUUUUUACGCUGCAGUAUCUGGAACUAGAAUUAUCUUCUCUUUUCGGGACUUGUCAUCUCUGCGCCAAAGCGUAGGACGCGAUCACAGUUAUUAUGCAAUUUAUAUAUAUUAUAUUUGAAAGCGUAGCACAUGGCCUAGAGAGGCGCGGGGUAGGAAAUUUCAAUGGUGUAAUGGAGGACAGGAGGGAUCAUAUCUUGUUGGUUGGGAAUACUGACUGAGAGUGUUUUUUAUUUAGUUAAAAGGCGUACUUUGAGAACCAACAAAUUGGUAACCGUCAUAGCCCUUGAUGAUCUAUCCCAGCUAUUGAUCAUUUAUCACAGCGCCUGAUGAUCUAUCGCUAUGAUCUCGCAAGAAGUUCAUAACGACAGCUCGCAUGCUUGCAUUAUGCUACGAACAGAACGCGUCUGUAGGGCGGACAUUUGUAAACGAGGUGCAAUAAACGGUUCAAAAGUC
rnacentral:misc_RNA from 1 species